UAGCCUAGUGGUUAAGGCUAUGGAUCGCCAAUCCGGAGACGGCGGGUUUGACUCCCGU
rnacentral:tRNA from 1 species